UACGUAGGGCGCAAGCGUUGUCCGGAAUUAUUGGGCGUAAAGAGCUCGUAGGCGGUCUGUCACGUCUGCCGUGAAAACCCGAGGCUUAACCUCGUGGCUUGCGGUGGAUACGGGCAGACUAGAGGUAGGUAGGGGGAGAACGGAAUUCCCGGUGUAGCGGUGAAAUGCGCAGAUAUCGGGAGGAACACCAGUGGCGAAAGCGGCUUCCUGGUCCAGCACCGACGUUCAGGCACGAAAGCGUGGGGAGCAAACAGG
rnacentral:rRNA from 1 species